GCCUACGGGGCGCAGCAGUGGGGGAUAUUGCACAAUGGGGGAAACCCUGAUGCAGCGACGCCGCGUGAGUGAAGAAGUAUUUCGGUAUGUAAAGCUCUAUCGGCAGGGAAGAAAAAAAUGACAGUACCUGACUAAGAAGCCCCGGCUAACUACGUGCCAGCAGCCGCGGUAAUACGUAGGGGGCAAGCGUUAUCCGGAUUUAUUGGGUUUAAAGGGUGCGCAGGCGGCCUGUUAAG
rnacentral:rRNA from 1 species